ACUCCUACGGGAGGCAGCAGUGGGGAAUAUUGCACAAUGGGCGCAAGCCUGAUGCAGCCAUGCCGCGUGUAUGAAGAAGGCCUUCGGGUUGUAAAGUACUUUCAGCGGGGAGGAAGGCGAUAAGGUUAAUAACCUUGUUGAUUGACGUUACCCGCAGAAGAAGCACCGGCUAACUCCGUGCCAGCAGCCGCGGUAAUACGGAGGGUGCAAGCGUUAAUCGGAAUUACUGGGCGUAAAGCGCACGCAGGCGGUCUGUCAAGUCGGAUGUGAAAUCCCCGGGCUCAACCUGGGAACUGCAUUCGAAACUGGCAGGCUAGAGUCUUGUAGAGGGGGGUAGAAUUCCAGGUGUAGCGGUGAAAUGCGUAGAGAUCUGGAGGAAUACCGGUGGCGAAGGCGGCCCCCUGGACAAAGACUGACGCUCAGGUGCGAAAGCGUGGGGAGCAAACAGGAUUAGAAACCCUAGUAGUCCCAUGAU
rnacentral:rRNA from 1 species